UAAAGCCGGAUAUUUAGGUAACCAACAGGUUACCGGUUACACAACGUAAGGUUACACUCUUACGUUGGCUUCAAUCCCCACCCACCGUCAUCUUCAUCCCCAAACCUCCUUUGUCCUCUUCUUCUCUUCGCUCUUAUCUUCUGAAUCUAACCUCAUGUGCGAUGAAUCGAUCCAUGAUGGUCUCCUUUCUUCUUCUUCUCUUCUGAAUUGAACCCCAACAUAAACCCGAUUCAGACCUUGAAGAUUAGGGCAUGUGACUGAUCAGACUUUUCUUCCUCCAUGAAAUUCGAUUCAGACAUUGGGUGAUGAACAGAUCGAUCUCCUCCACCAUCUUUCCCUUUCGAUUUUCCAUAUUGAUAUGAGGAGCUACCUUACUGCCGUCAUGCUCACAUACAUCAGAUUACAUCAUUGGAACAUGAAUCAGAGUAAAGGGGUUCAUCACCUUCAUCACCCAAUUCAGACCUUGGAGUCAAGGUAGCACCUGUUCAUCAACCAAUUCAGACCUCUUUGUCUUCGAUUUUAAGGAAAACACACCCAUUUUGGGGUUCAUCAAUAUCUGCUUUGUGAUUAAAAUUUGCACACAACACACAGUGUAUGAUUUGCUACUAAUUUGUGUGUUAUGUGUGUAUUUUUGUGUUCCUAUGUAUUUCCAAGAUGACCAUGGUGAAUAGGGUGAAGAAGAGGAGAGUGUUACCGGAGCUAGGUUUAGAUAUGGGCAAGAAUGGGAGGUGGUAGUGAACAAUAUCAAUAUAGUUAUGGUAGCGGUGGUUGAUUUCAAUGAUGGUAUCAGUGGUGGAUUUCAGGUUUGAUGUUUUUGGAAAACAUGAUGACCAAAGAGAAUAGGGGAUGAAGAAGACAAUACAACGGUGGUGAGGGGCUACUGUGUGCACCAUUAGUUAUGGAGAAUAGAGAUGGUGAUGGGUUAGAUGAGGAGAGUUUGAAUAUUUAUAGAUACAAAUUUCGAUUUGCAGGUGGGAAGGUAAUGGAAAUGGAGAUGAUUUUAGGCAUCUAUAGGGUCGUUUGAUAGUUGCUGACUAAGAAAGUGCUGAUUGAGAAAGGUCUGUCUGAGUAAUAAGUUCUGACUGAGUAAGAAACUAUGCUGUUUGAUUAUACAUCUGAGUGAAUGUGCUGACUGAUACAAAAUGACAAUUUUACCCUGAUGCUCUUUAUAGUAGUAGUAGUAGUAGUAGUAGUAAUAAUAAUAAUAAUAAUAAUAAUAAUAAAAGUAAUAAUAAUAAUAAUAAUAAUGUAUACAAAAAACUUCCAGCAUAAAAGACAUUAAAUAUACUAUUUUAGAGAUUAAAACACAAAAAACCCUUUAGCUUACUGGUAAACAUCAUUCUAUGUAUAGAGGAGACCCGAGUUCAAUUCUUGUAACCUCCAAUUACAUUUGUUUUUAUCCAAGGCCAAGGGUAUUAUUGUAAAGUCUUGCUUUCUUUCUCAGUCAGCCUCCUGCCAAUUCCUUUCUCAG
rnacentral:lncRNA from 1 species